AGAAGGAAUAAAAAUUAAAUCAUUCAUUACUAACAUAAAAACUUAACAAGAGCACUUUCAGUUUAUUUCAGCCAUUUUCAGUUGAAUUAAUUACAAAAUUUAACAACCAAAAUCAUUCUAGAAUAUUUUAUGCAAACUUAAAAACUGUUGUCAUGAUAAUCUGGUUGGCUGCAUAGCUGUAAAGAAUUUCUUACACUUGCAGUCCAUGUAAAAAAUUAAAUUACAUUAAGCAUAUGCUAAUGUAACAAUUUUAAAAAAACAUUAUGAAGUCUAAAGGACUAAGAUCUACCAUGUUGCUCUAUUGACUUUUUGUGUACCAUUGCCAUGAUACUUUUAUCUCUUUUAGUGAUAACACACUAACUAUUUUAUUAUUUUUUAUCUUUGUAUAUGGUUAUAACUCUGCCAUUUUUGUUCCUUAUUAUCAACCUGUUUAAUGAUUCUUGUGCUCUUCCAUUCCACUUCCAGGUUGUAGAUAUUAGCUUUUUAUGAAAAAGGCAGUCUUCAAAAUUUAUUUUUCAAUGUAUUUUCUGUGUUCCUUCAUCCUAAUCUCUAAGCGUUUGCUUGUGCUCCCCAUGAGUUGUAAUGCUGUUUUAAGGUCAUAUUUCUGCAAUUAACUUUAUAAUCCCUGCUUUUCUUUGUGACUUUUAUUAUAUUCUUAUCAUUUCUUAUUUUAUUGAACAACUUGUUCCUCUUUGUUUAUGGUAUUGUUGUUCCUUUUGUUUUUCCCAUGAGCUUUCUUAGUUUAAAUAUAGUUUUGCUAUAAAAUGAUAAAAAACUUCUAAAGUUUUUUUAUUUUAAUUUGUUUUAUUUUCUUUCUUUCUUUGAUCUUAAGAAUAUCUUCCCAUAACUUCAGACUGUUCUUUUACUGUAAUGUUAUUUCUCAAUAAUUUCAGUUUACUCAUUUUAACUCUAUUCUCUUUUUCUUGAUUGCUACAAUGGGUGUUUAGUCUUCAGCCAAGGUCUGAGUGCUGACAUUACAUGUAGCUCCUUUGACCAAUUUAAUAUUAUAAGUGGUGUGCAUGUAUCCUUCCUGAAUAUACUGUAGAAUAUUUGUCUUUAUCUAUUUUGAUUUUGACAUUCCAGUCACUUAUCUCUAUUUUGUUAAAUUUUUCUUGCUUCAAUAUUAAGCCCAGGCUGCUGCCAACUUGAAAAGUACGAGUUUUCACUCACCCUUCUAUGAAAGUUUGAAUCCCGCUCUCCCUCCUGUUCUACUCUUUUUGUUGUAUACAAUUUCAGAUGAAUGUUCAGUUCACGACUAUCCAUCCACCGCAGGAAAGUGCUUACUGCCUCCACAAUAAACUCCAUAUAAAUCAAACACCACUUUUUCUUUUAUUUUAAACACAACUUCCAACUGGAAAUUAAAUACUUGAAAUGAAUAACAACUUACAACUACUAAAUUACAAUAAAAAUCAUGUUCUCUCCUCUUAUUAAUAUCCGUAAGACCAAACUUGUCAUUGUCUCCAGGCAACAAAGGCCAAAUGGCACUCCGCCGACGCAGCUUUUAACAACUGUCCACAUAAACUUAAUAUAGUACUUCAAAUUACCUGGGCAACAAAGACUCUACCAGCCGUAUCUGCAGCUGAGGGAGAGAACACUCUUGCCGUCUCCCGGCAACCCUUUUAUCUGUAAUCUAAUUAGCAUAACACAAAUAAAAGAAAAACAAAAGUUAUUCUAACAAAUUAUACAUAAUAAAUCGGUUCGUUUUUUAUCAAAAACAUUAUAAUAAAUCAUUAAUCGCAAUUUCUUCAAAACAUCAAAUUAAAUAAAUCGAAAUAGAAUAAACACGGAGACAACAGCACCAUUAGUGAACCCAAAAUGGCAACCAUCCCACCAGCAGGCAAGUCAUAUCCAAAUCUUAACAAACUUAUCAUCAACUUAUCUAAUCCAAUCUUUUUGAGCCUUCUGUCCAUUUCUAUGAAUAUGUUUUUGAUGCAUCUUGUAUAUAUUUUUAAUAUGUGUUUUAAAUAUGGUAGUAUUUCACAUUCUUUUCUUACUGUAAGCAUCCCAGUCAUGAGACUAUAAAUUGGCAGGCCUCUAUUUUACUUGUAAGAUUUAAUCAUCAAACCUGAAGUUCAAUUUAUGUGUUACUAUGUAGCUUAGUUCUUUCAAUAGUUCUUCUGCCAUUCUCAACCUGCGGCCCGCGGGCCGCAUGCGGCCCGGCAAGCCUUUACGUGCGGCCCGGAACGCAUGGAC
rnacentral:lncRNA from 1 species